rnacentral:tRNA from 1 species
GCCUGGCUGGCUCAGUCAGUAGAGCAUAUGACUCUUAAUCUCGGGUUUGUGAGUUCAAAGCCCCAUGUUGGGCA